UGCCCCAUAGUCUGGGAUACCACUUGGAAACAGGUGCUAAUACCGGAUAAGAAAGCGGAUCGCAUGAUCAGCUUUUAAAAAGGCGGCGUAAGCUGUCGCUAUGGGAUGGCCCCGCGGUGCAUUAGCUAGUUGGUAAGGUAAAGGCUUACCAAGGCGAUGAUGCAUAGCCGAGUUGAGAGACUGAUCGGCCACAUUGGGACUGAGACACGGCCCAAACUCCUACGGGAGGCAGAGGC
rnacentral:rRNA from 1 species